rnacentral:rRNA from 1 species
AUUGAACGCUGGCGGCAGGCCUAACACAUGCAAGUCGAGCGGAUGAAGGGAGCUUGCUCCUGGAUUCGGCGGCGGACGGGUGAGUAAUGCCUAGGAAUCUGCCUGGUAGUGGGGGAUAACGUCCGGAAACGGGCGCUAAUACCGCAUACGUCCUGAGGGAGAAAGUGGGGGAUCGUCGGACCUCACGCUAUCAGAUGAGCCUAGGUCGGAUUAGCUAGUUGGUGGGUUAAAGGCCUACCAAGGCGACGAUCCGUAACUGGUCUGAGAGGAUGAUCAGUCACACUGGAACUGAGACACGGUCCAGACUCCUACGGGAGGCAGCAGUGGGGAAUAUUGGACAAUGGGCGAAAGCCUGAUCCAGCCAUGCCGCGUGUGUGAAGAAGGUCUUCGGAUUGUAAAGCCCUUUAAGUUGGGAGGAAGGGCAGUAAGUUAAUACCUUGCUGUUUUGACGUUACCAACAGAAUAAGCACCGGCUAACUUCGUG